CAGCAGUAGCCGCGGUAAUACGGAGGGUGCAAGCGUUAAUCGGAAUUACUGGGCGUAAAGCGCACGCAGGCGGUCUGUCAAGUCAGAUGUGAAAUCCCCGGGCUUAACCUGGGAACUGCAUUUGAAACUGGCAGGCUAGAGUCUUGUAGAGGGGGGUGGAAUUCCGCGUGUAGCAGUGAAAUGCGUAGAUAUGCGGAGGAACACCGAUGGCGAAGGCAGCCCCCUGGGCCAACACUGACGCUCAUGCACGAAAGCGUGGGGAGCAAACAGGAUUAGAGACCCGCGUAGUCCCUGUCUCUUAUAA
rnacentral:rRNA from 1 species